GCUUAUUCAUCUGGUACCGGCAAUUUUCCACGCAUGGACUUUUUCUUCCCAGAUAAAAGCAGUUUACAACGCAGAACGCCGUCUUCCUGCACGCGGCAUGGCUGGGUCAGACUCUCGUCCAUUGCCCAAUAUUCCCUACUGCUGCCUCCCGUAGGAGUCUGGCCCGUAUCUCAGUGCCAGUGUGGGGGACCUUCCUCUCAGAACCCCUACUGAUCGUCGCCUUGGUGGUCCGUUACACGCCAACUAGCUAAUCAGACGCAUGCCCAUCCUAUACCGAUGAAUCUUUAACUAAAUC
rnacentral:rRNA from 1 species